GUGAUGGUGGUGGUGGUGGUGGUGUUUGCGUUUGUGCAUGUGUUGGCGAUCGAGCGAGCGAGCGACCGAGCCAGCAGCGAACUUUCUUCACAACUAAACGCCAGUCCAGUCGAGUCCAGUCCAGUAAAGUAAACAGCCAUCUCUCCAUCUCUCUCUCUCUAUCUCUCCUUAUUCUCCGGCCCACCACAAACACACAUAACUAAAAGAAAGAAAACAAAACAACCCUAACACAACAAAAAAACAACAACCUACCGCUGGUCAUGUUGGAUCCUUCAUCGGGGACCCAAAGGAACAACAAGCUAGAAUGCUUCCUCAAAAGGUCCCUCCCCAGCGAACGUUACGACCGGCUCCGUGCAUACGAGGCCUGCAUCGUUGACAAGACAUUCAAGUACAUUAUCAUCGGUGACCAAUGCAUAUAUCUGACCGAAAACCCUCCUCGGACACUUCAACCCGUUGUAUUUUACCAGGAACUUAGGGACGUACAACUGGAGUAUGACUUACCAAAUUUCCUUCAAGGUUUGGAACGAGAGCAGACUCUACACAUUGUCCUCACCUACAGCAGGAAUAUCCACAAGAAGACACAAGAUGGUACCAGUUCAGAUAUUAACCAAAGCCAGAGCAGCUUAUUCUUAAACACUUUAUUUACAAAAACACAAUCUUCCAGAGCGCCGACCAAUCAUCGGAAAUCGAGUUUUGAUGAGACAUUGUUGCAAUCUUCAAGAAGCAUUGUGGAUCAUUCUAUGGACGGAAGCAACACACUUCUCUCUAUGUCAAUGCCGUCAAAUCUAUGGCACACUCUAGAGAAAAAUGACAAUCGCACCAACACAUCUGAAGAAAUCUCUAUUGGCAAAUGUAAGCACAAGCCAAGUUUGAUCCACCGUAUCAGGAAACCGUUCUCGAGAGUUUGGUAUAAUUUCCUCAAUAUCAAACGGCAUGGGAUGUUGAAGAACAGACACAGUACCUCGAAGGUGCGACUAAAGAUCGAUGAAGAUUCAGACAUUGACAGCAAAGAUGAAAAUGAGAGCAGGCUGCCGUCACCAAGGGACAUUUCUGAAAGCAAAACAAAGACAUUACGUGGUUCCAAAGUGUCACACAACCCGGGGAAAUCUUCCAAUGCCAUACAGCUGUAUGUCCUCGAUGUGUAUUUGCUGAAGAACAACUCUCCAUCAUUGGACCUCAUUAGGUACGCCUGGGAUAAUUACUUGAUUAGGUCUACAGAGCAACAGUCAAAUCGAAGGUGUACAGAUGUCUCUACACAGGACAGUCAAAGUCUAAGUGUCCAGCCAGAAGUCCUGUUUGUUCGAAUAAAACAAGAAUUGCUCAGUGAAAACUACUAUUCUGAUGUGUUACUCUUUUUGUGCUCAAGGCUACAUACGUCUGCUCUCUCGUGCUUUACAAUAAAGAAGUUAUUCUGGAAGGAUCCGGAGCUUUUCAUGUUUUUGGUUGGAAUACUUUGUAAAUAUGUUCCCGGAUUUGUGUCGAGUGGAGGGGGAACCGUCUGUGAUAGCAAAGAUGAGGACAAAAAACUGCAGAGUCUGUUGUGCCUAGUUUUGGAAAUUCUGCGAGUCAUGUUCCGAGAAACUGAAGUCCUGUCAUCCCGGAUAUCAACCCUCGUCGCAGCCAAAGAAGGUGUAUUUGAAUUAAUGAAGAUCCUCAUUAGUGUGUUGUCAAGGCAACCGGCCCCUAUCAGAAAGAAGAACCAAUCACAGUCGGUGAAAUCUUCAAUCCCAGAGGAAUUAACUGAAUUAAGCAUUGGCGUAAUCUUUGAGCUGUUCGUUUGUGUCCAACAGAAGUUAGAUGGAAGUAAGGAAGACAUUUGUACCAGUUGGUUGGUUGGCGCUGUGGAAGAUAUUGGGGCUGAGGAUAUGAUCAACGAUAUGGUGAGCCAAGUCCUAGAACUGACCAAACCAACAUCCAAUGGCAACAAUUGUGUAGAGGUCAGCUGUCUGUUGCCACUACAAGUGCUAAAACUCUACCAACAUUACUACAUCCUGGCUGUUAUCCUAGAAAAUAGCUCUCAACUGGCUGAGUAUAUCCACUCAAACUAUUUGAGUGAGUUCAAAUAUCUGGUUCAAGUGCCGGUGCUUAAACAAAGACUCUCAACUCACUGUCCACUCUCCAACACUGUCUUACAACUGAUUAUGAAGGUUUUACAGAAAAUUGUAUAUUGACCUUUGAAUGGUAGACCCCAUCCAGAAAAGGGGUCACUCAGACUGACUGGCAUUAAGUCAGUCACAGACACUCUCCAGUCGUCCCCAGCCCACAGAUACAUUGUCUUCUCUCUCUGCCUUUUCUGUCGCUCGGCGCCUGUUUCCGUCCUUCUAUCAUACUCUAACUUCUCAUCACCUGGCAUAAGGCCACCUCCCUCAAUACUACUCCGCCACCCUGUCCACCUUGGUCUUGUCUUGAAAAUUACUUGGUGAUCUCACUGGUGUUGGUGGUAUGAAAAAGAAGGCACCUUAGUAAACUCUGUGAAGUGGUUGGCAUUCGGAAGGGCAUCCAGCUGCAGAAAACAUGCUCUUGUCGAACCAUCCAACACAUACAGCACGAAAAACAGACGUUAAAUGGUGCUGCUGUUGCUGCUGAUGAUGAUGAUGGUGUCAAUGAUAAUAAUAAUGGCCUCUGCUCCUCAGAGCUGGCUAGGCUCUUGCCACCUCUCUUCAGAUCCUUCCAAUCUACUCAUCUGUCCUCACUUCACCACCUUUGGUAUGUAUUGUGUCCUACCCCUUUCAUCCAUACCCUACACCAUCCACAGAGCCCAAUCUUUCCUCCUCAGAACUUCAUCCCUCUGGAACUCUCACUCUGCUCAUGUCUCUUCCACAAUUGUGAACUUGCAGUGGUUUAAUAGGAACAGCAGCAAUAUCUCUUUAACCAGUUUUGGAGGGCUUGCAAAUGUCAUGGGCACUGCCCAUCCCUCAAAACCCUGCAAAUGAAAAAAACAUAAAUAAAAUAGUCGCAGGAGUGGCUGUAGAGAAAGAGUG
rnacentral:misc_RNA from 1 species